rnacentral:tRNA from 1 species
GGUGGGGUAGUGUUAAUGUAGCAUGUUGGGCUCAUGACCCAAUGGUAAUGGUUCAAGUCCAUUCCCCACCA